AUAAUCAUGGAGUAUAAUAAUUAAAUUUAAUAAAUUUAAUAUAACUAUUAAUAGAAUUAGGUUACUAAUAAAUUAAUAACAAUUAAUUUUAAAACCUAAAGGUAAACCUUUAUAUUAAUAAUGUUAUUUUUUAUUAUUUUUAUAAUAAGAAUAAUUAUUAAUAAUAAUAAACUAAGUGAACUGAAACAUCUAAGUAACUUAAGGAUAAGAAAUCAACAGAGAUAUUAUGAGUAUUGGUGAGAGAAAAUAAUAAAGGUCUAAUAAGUAUUAUGUGAAAAAAAUGUAAGAAAAUAGGAUAACAAAUUCUAAGACUAAAUACUAUUAAUAAGUAUAGUAAGUACCGUAAGGGAAAGUAUGAAAAUGAUUAUUUUAUAAGCAAUCAUGAAUAUAUUAUAUUAUAUUAAUGAUGUACCUUUUGUAUAAUGGGUCAGCAAGUAAUUAAUAUUAGUAAAACAAUAAGUUAUAAAUAAAUAGAAUAAUAUAUAUAUAUAUAAAAAUAUAUUAAAAUAUUUAAUUAAUAUUAAUUGACCCGAAAGCAAACGAUCUAACUAUGAUAAGAUGGAUAAACGAUCGAACAGGUUGAUGUUGCAAUAUCAUCUGAUUAAUUGUGGUUAGUAGUGAAAGACAAAUCUGGUUUGCAGAUAGCUGGUUUUCUAUGAAAUAUAUGUAAGUAUAGCCUUUAUAAAUAAUAAUUAUUAUAUAAUAUUAUAUUAAUAUUAUAUAAAGAAUGGUACAGCAAUUAAUAUAUAUUAGGGAACUAUUAAAGUUUUAUUAAUAAUAUUAAAUCUCGAAAUAUUUAAUUAUAUAUAAUAAAGAGUCAGAUUAUGUGCGAUAAGGUAAAUAAUCUAAAGGGAAACAGCCCAGAUUAAGAUAUAAAGUUCCUAAUAAAUAAUAAGUGAAAUAAAUAUUAAAAUAUUAUAAUAUAAUCAGUUAAUGGGUUUGACAAUAACCAUUUUUUAAUGAACAUGUAACAAUGCACUGAUUUAUAAUAAAUAAAAAAAAUAAUAUUUAAAAUCAAAUAUAUAUAUAUUUGUUAAUAGAUAAUAUACGGAUCUUAAUAAUAAGAAUUAUUUAAUUCCUAAUAUGGAAUAUUAUAUUUUUAUAAUAAAAAUAUAAAUACUGAAUAUCUAAAUAUUAUUAUUACUUUUUUUUUUAAUAAUAAUAAUAUGGUAAUAGAACAUUUAAUGAUAAUAUAUAUUAGUUAUUAAUUAAUAUAUGUAUUAAUUAAAUAGAGAAUGCUGACAUGAGUAACGAAAAAAAGGUAUAAACCUUUUCACCUAAAACAUAAGGUUUAACUAUAAAAGUACGGCCCCUAAUUAAAUUAAUAAGAAUAUAAAUAUAUUUAAGAUGGGAUAAUCUAUAUUAAUAAAAAUUUUAUCUUAAAAUAUAUAUAUUAUUAAUAAUUAUAUUAAUAAUAUAUAUAAUUAUAUUAUAUAUUUUUUUUAUAUAAUAUAAACUAAUAAAGAUCAGGAAAUAAUUAAUGUAUACCGUAAUGUAGACCGACUCAGGUAUGUAAGUAGAGAAUAUGAAGGUGAAUUAGAUAAUUAAAGGGAAGGAACUCGGCAAAGAUAGCUCAUAAGUUAGUCAAUAAAGAGUAAUAAGAACAAAGUUGUACAACUGUUUACUAAAAACACCGCACUUUGCAGAAACGAUAAGUUUAAGUAUAAGGUGUGAACUCUGCUCCAUGCUUAAUAUAUAAAUAAAAUUAUUUAACGAUAAUUUAAUUAAAUUUAGGUAAAUAGCAGCCUUAUUAUGAGGGUUAUAAUGUAGCGAAAUUCCUUGGCCUAUAAUUGAGGUCCCGCAUGAAUGACGUAAUGAUACAACAACUGUCUCCCCUUUAAGCUAAGUGAAAUUGAAAUCGUAGUGAAGAUGCUAUGUACCUUCAGCAAGACGGAAAGACCCUAUGCAGCUUUACUGUAAUUAGAUAGAUCGAAUUAUUGUUUAUUAUAUUCAGCAUAUUAAGUAAUCCUAUUAUUAGGUAAUCGUUUAGAUAUUAAUGAGAUACUUAUUAUAAUAUAAUGAUAAUUCUAAUCUUAUAAAUAAUUAUUAUUAUUAUUAUUAAUAAUAAUAAUAUGCUUUCAAGCAUAGUGAUAAAACAUAUUUAUAUGAUAAUCACUUUACUUAAUAGAUAUAAUUCUUAAGUAAUAUAUAAUAUAUAUUUUAUAUAUAUUAUAUAUAAUAUAAGAGACAAUCUCUAAUUGGUAGUUUUGAUGGGGCGUCAUUAUCAGCAAAAGUAUCUGAAUAAGUCCAUAAAUAAAUAUAUAAAAUUAUUGAAUAAAAAAAAUAAUAUAUAUUAUAUAUAUUAAUUAUAAAUUGAAAUAUGUUUAUAUAAAUUUAUAUUUAUUGAAUAUAUUUUAGUAAUAGAUAAAAAUAUGUACAGUAAAAUUGUAAGGAAAACAAUAAUAACUUUCUCCUCUCUUGGUGGGGGUUCACACCUAUUUUUAAUAGGUGUUCACCCCUCUUCGGGGUUCCGGUUCCCUUUCGGGUCCCGGAACUUAAAUAAAAAUAAUUAUGGAAAGAAUUAAAUUAAUAUAAUGGUAUAACUGUGCGAUAAUUGUAACACAAACGAGUGAAACAAGUACGUAAGUAUGGCAUAAUGAACAAAUAACACUGAUUGUAAAGGUUAUUGAUAACGAAUAAAAGUUACGCUAGGGAUAACAGGGUAAUAUAACGAAAGAGUAGAUAUUGUAAGUUAUGUUUGCCACCUCGAUGUCGACUCAACAUUUCCUCUUGGUUGUAAAAGCUAAGAAGGGUUUGACUGUUCGUCAAUUAAAAUGUUACGUGAGUUGGGUUAAAUACGAUGUGAAUCAGUAUGGUUCCUAUCUGCUGAAGGAAAUAUUAUCAAAUUAAAUCUCAUUAUUAGUACGCAAGGACCAUAAUGAAUCAACCCAUGGUGUAUCUAUUGAUAAUAAUAUAAUAUAUUUAAUAAAAAUAAUACUUUAUUAAUAUAUUAUCUAUAUUAGUUUAUAUUUUAAUUAUAUAUUAUCAUAGUAGAUAAGCUAAGUUGAUAAUAAAUAAAUAUUGAAUACAUAUUAAAUAUGAAGUUGUUUUAAUAAGAUAAUUAAUCUGAUAAUUUUAUACUAAAAUUAAUAAUUAUAGGUUUUAUAUAUUAUUUAUAAAUAAAUAUAUUAUAAUAAUAAUAAUUAUUAUUAUUAAUAAAAAAUAU
rnacentral:rRNA from 1 species